rnacentral:tRNA from 1 species
GAGAAAGUCAUAAGGGUUAUGAGGUUGACUUGAAAUUGAUCUUAGGGGGUUCAACUCCUCCCUUUCUUA